UAUCUUACUUUUGUUUCUUUCUCUCUUUUCUCCUGUCCUGUGAACUAGGCAAGGUGGGGGUAGGAAGGCAGCAGAAUAGUAGUGGUCUCCUUCCUUAGUGAGAGGAUCUCUUGAGGCCAGGAGUUCAAGACCAGCCUGGGCAACAUAGUGAGACACCAUCAUGUGUGGUGGCAUGUGCCUGUAGUCCCACCUGUUCAGGAGGCUGAGGCAAGAGGAUUGCUUGAGUCUGGUAGUUCUGAUGACAGUGGCGGCAGUCGAGUGGAUGCUGUCAUCAUGCUGGCUGCAGUGGGGAGGCACGAGUCGGGCAGCAGAAGCGGCUCUGGGAGUGGCAGUGGUAGUAGUGAGUCCCCUGUUCCCUGCAUCCCUGAGGCAGCCGACUGCACCACCCCCACCCUCACACAGCUGGGCGGGACCUGCUCUUAAGCCCAGACCCUCUGCUGCAGCCUCAACCUCACUCCCCGCCAUAUCCCAGAAGCCCACGAGCACCCUGCCAAAGGUGCAGCCGGGACUUGUAGGGCCAGCCCCAGGACCAUCAGGCUUAUUUGUGUGGGGUGGUCGGGGCUGCCAUGCCAUCUGCACCUUGCCCGCUGCCACUGUGGGGAAAAUGCAAAGAGGAGGUGCAGCUGGGCCGCAUGCUCCACAGAGCUGGCAGGAACUGGAGACAAGUGGGAGCCCCACCCCUUCCAAGUGGUGGAGUGGGAGCUCCCUAGGCACAAUUGCAAGCACCCAAGCCAGGGCUGCAACUCAGGUACCCUGUGCUCUUGGGAGCCAGGAGCAGGCAGAAGCCCCACCCUCCUGGCUGCAGCUGCAGCUGUGGGGCCAGGCACCUCUGCACUCUCGGGGGCCCAGGAAGGCCCCUUUCUGCUGCCACAGGCUCGGAAGUGCCUGAUCCUGCUGUCUGGCUUUCCCCACUGUCAGCGCCUGAUCUGAUCAUGGAGCAAAGUUGAGGCUGAACCUGGGUGCUGCUGCGGCUUGGCUGGGUGUGUGAAUGCUCUGGGCAGUGCUGACACACCAGCCCCCUGCCACCUUGGCCCCCUCCGGCCUUUGGGUGCCAACGAGCAUGGGAGGGAAGCCAAGAGGGGCUGAGGGCAGCUCAGUGCUGGCCUGCAGGCACCCCUUGGCACAAACAGCCUGGGUGCCAUGAAUGGUGGCAAGAGGCAGAUGGGUCCCGGGUGAAGCCUGACCUUCAAGCCAGGGAAGGCCUGAAGCCUGGGGGCUGGGCUGCAGGUCCCAUGGAUUGGAAUGGGAAAUUUUGAUGCUUUUUCUGGCCCACCCAUGGCUGCCCAUGGACCAAUAGGCAUGUACUUCCUCCCCUCUGAGGGCCAUAAAAAGCCCCUGACUCAGCCAGACCAGAAGAGACAAUGGGACGACCAGCUGCAGGAAGGAGCUGCCCUCUCUGCUGAGAGCUGGAGAGACUCGGCAACCUGCCCACAGACAGGAGCCACUCUAGCCAGGGAAGUAAGCAGGCCAGCCAGCUCUUUCUUUUCCAGUACUCCUGGGCCCAGUGGGGUCUUCUCACUCAGUUACAAUUUUUGAUCUAAGAACAUUCACUUUCCAACUGAUUGCAAAGUAAAGGUGACUGGCAUGGUGUGGCCACGAGAGACGCAGCAUAAGCUCAGAGGUGAACAUCAGUGCCGGGACCAUUUGGAGCAGGAUGUAGUAACCACCAAAUGGAGACCAAGGCCUUCUGGCUCGACCUAGAGCACGAAUGUAGCAAAGCGAAGUCCUGCAGAGGAGCCAUCCUCUCUGCUGAGAGCUGAACACUCAUGGGGAUACCCUGGCUGCGGAGAGGAGCUGCCCACUGUGGGUCUCCUCUGAGCUGUUCCAUGACUCAGUAAAGCUCCUCUUUGUCUUGUUAACCCUCUACUUGUCUGUAUGUACUUCAUUCUUCCUGGAUGCAGGACAAGAACUGGGGACGUGCUGAAUGGUGGGGCUAAAAGAGCUGUAACAUGAAGAGGGCUGAACCAUGCGUCUUGCUCGCCACAUGGUGGAAGACAAGAAGGAAAGAAGAGCUGCAGCCCUUUGGGGAGCCCAGACCCAGGAGCUCCCCAAGCUGGGGUUCUGACAUCCUCUUUAGGGCUCUGCAGUUCCUGGUAUCUCCAAGCUUCCAAGCACCACCAUGUUUCCUAGUGUCAGCUGUGGAAGCUACUUAUGGUAUACUUGGUCUAACUGCAGCCUUGCAGGAAACCAGCGCCCAUGUUGGCACCUGGAGCUGCCUGCCCCACCGCAGCCCACAUACCUGGCUGUGCACAGUGGCCAGACUCCACACUCAUUGGCUCACACACACCUCGCCGCCCCACUCGCCCUUGGCAGGUGUGGGAUACAGGUUGGUGGCAUGAGCCGAGCACAGCCUGCAGGGAUGAGUGGGCCCAAUGGGCCUGAGCAAAACGGGCAAAGGCAUCACUGGCCACAGAGGUUUCCAGCUGGCAAAGCAACACCCCAAAGGUCCGGUGACAGUUUGCGGCUGUGGUGAGCCAUUAUUGCAUCACUGCACUUCAGCCUGGGCAACAGAGCAAGAUGCUGUCUCAAAAGAAUCUCAGCGAGUACAACAGGGAGAUGUACUGAGCCUCAGACCACCGUCUCCCAAGAGCUCAGCGUGCCUCUUGCUGUACCCUACCUGGACAAGCCCCCAACUCCGCUCCACUUCUACCGGGACUGGGUCUGCCCCAGCAGGCCGUGCAUCAUCCGCAACGCUCUGCAGCACUGGCCGGCCCUCCAAAAGUGGUCCCUCCCCUAUUUCAGUGGGGUCCACGGAGGUGAGCGUGGCCGUGACCCCAGACGGUUACGCGGAUGCCGUGAGAGGGGACCGCUUCGUGAUGCCAGCUGAACGCCGCGUGCCCCUGAGCUUCGUGCUGGAUGUGCUGGAGGGCCGGGCCCAGCACCCCGGGGUCCUCUACGUGCAGAAGCAGUGCUCCAACCUGCCCACCGAGCUGCCCCAGCUGCUGCCUGACCUGGAAUCCCAUGUGCCCUGGGCCUCAGAAGCCCUGGGAAAGAUGCCCGAUGCUGUGAACUUCUGGCUAGGGGAGGCGGCUGCGGUGACUUCUUGUAGGUGUCGGGAAUACAAAGGACUCGGGCACCACAGAGGGCUUCCCUUGACAGCUGAGGCCGUCUUGGGGUGCAGGGCUCUCAGCAUGAUGGUUUGCCGCCUCUUGUGCCCCUGCCCUCCAUACCCUGCCCCCGGGCCUUCUUUAUGUUGGCAGUGCACAAGGACCCCUAUGAGAACCUCUACUGCGUGGUCUCAGGAGAGAAGCAUUUCCUGUUACAUCCGCCCAGCGACCGGCCCUUCAUCCCCUAUGAGCUGUACACGCCGGCAACCUACCAGCUAACCGAAGAGGGCACCUUUAAGGUGGUGGAUGAAGAGGCCAUGGAGAAGGUGCCCUGGAUCCCACUGGACCCCUUGGCGCCAGACCUAGCCCGCUACCCCAGUUACAGUCAGGCCCAGGCCCUUCGCUGUACAGUGCGGGCCGGUGAGAUGCUCUAUCUGCCGGCUCUGUGGUUCCACCACGUCCAGCAGUCCCAGGGCUGCAUUGCAGUGAAUUUCUGGUAUGACAUGGAAUACGACCUCAAGUAUAGUUACUUCCAGCUGCUCGACUCCCUCACCAAGGCUUCAGGCCUUGACUGAUGGAGCUCUGGUGAACAUGGCCAGGCACGCCUCGGGGGAAGGGGCCAGCCCCUUCCUGGCCGGGUCAAUUCUCGAGAGCCUGGAGUGUGCAUGCUGGCUGCUGGCCCAGGGUCCAGCAUGGCUUGAGAUCAACUUUGGAGGAUCUUGGAAUGUGGUCAUGAGGACUCAAGGUGCCAGGCAGGUCUGGGUGAGGGUUCUCAGGAAGUUACCACACAGGUGAGCGGAGCAGGGAUCAGGUGCAGUGGCACCUCUCCCCAGUGCUGUGAUGUUGGGAGAGUCACUGCAUCUCGGGCAUUGGUGUCCUGUCAGUAAACAGAUAAUAAUGGCUCUACCUCGCAGGGCUAUCAUGGGCUUGGAGAUGAUGUCUAUGAGGACCAGCGUGGAGCUGGCACACAGGACAUGUUGAAUAAAAGGUAGCUGUGA